AGGAAUUCUCCUGCCUCAUCCUCCACGUAGCUGGGAUUACAGAUAAACUCAGAUCCCUCUACUUUCCAAGUGUGAGAAGAUUUUGUUCUACAGUCGCUUCUGUGAGAUCACCACAGCCCUGGCAAACCAAGAGGGAGGAACCUUGUGCCUUUGAAGUGUGAUUCACAGUGCUUGAUAAAGUGCCAGUAUUCUCUAAAUUUUAGGUUCACAGCAAAUUGGAUGGAAGUUACAGAAAUUCUUCUAUUUUUAAUUUUAAACUAACAUACGACAAAAGGAUUUCCUGAUUUAUCCACCAUUUCAAAAAAAGGUCCGAAGAAAAUGAAGGAGCCUCUUCCUGUACUCAUGGUACAUAAGCAAAGUAAAUCAUUGCUUGACCCUCAGCCCACAUGGGAAAACCACCCCUAACAUUACAACAGCAGUAACAACAACAAACAUCUACGUGAGCUUUCUACAGCCUCUGAUGACUUAUGUAAGUGAGUAGAUGAGCUUGCUUUUUAUCUGCCUGUUCCAGAUGCAGAUUUCACUGAACGAUGAUUGAAGGGGAAAUUCCAAGAGAAGGCCCCUGCACAGCCCAUGGCCUCCUGGAGUCUAUCUCAUAUAUCACAAAGGUGGAGAGUUAAAGAGGACACAAUGGAACAUCUAAUGUGCUCUUUUCCUCGUGGUAUUUUGAUGUCUAUGGGAAAAGAAUUAUGAGGGAUUGCCCAUUUAAACUAGCGCACGCCAGGUCUCUCGGGGUUGGCAUUCAGUUUGGGCAGUGAAGCACAUUCUCAGUUUCAUGCAGCUGGCUUGGGAGUGGCAGACACAUUUCCACUAUUCUGGGCCUGGUUCAGAGAGGAAGAUCACUGGUUACUGUCUGUGGCUGCAGUAGCUUAGGGAGCCAAUGAAGACGGGGUGAGGGGCUGAGGCAGAAUGCAAUUCAGUGAGCUGAAAAUUCACCAGAACACUAAGGCUCAUAUUCGAAAAAAAAGAACCAUGUACAACCACUUCUGACUCCUGCAACCACUUCUGACCCUGACCUUUCAUUUUCUAGAUCUUAAAAAAAUAAAGUAGCACCUGCGGGAUGCUCAGUCUUGAGUGACUUCAAUAAACCCAAGCUGUCGGCUGAAGGGCAAGAAUCAUAUAUUUGUGAUUAGAAUCAAUGAGCAGCAAGGCUUGUACACAAACUGGCAAUACUUUGAUGGCAAAUCCUUCCUUUUCAGAUAUUUUUGAAAGGCUAAUUUACUUAUAAAUUUUAAUUUCCCCCAGAUUAGUGGUCAUGUCAGCACUUAAAAUGCUGGCAGGGGGAUAAAUCAGUAUCAUGUUUGUCUUUAAAAUGGGAGACAUAGGACACCUGGCCUCUGUUAAUACAGGGACACUGUACAAGAGUAAACUACGGCACAAUACAGUUCUUAUUCUGAAUUGGAAUCCAUCUGUACUCUACAGUGGGAAGACAAAAGGGGAUUGUUAGCACUUAAGGCACCUUGACACAGUUGGACCGUUUGACUCUUUUAUUAAUUGCCCCAUCUGCUAAGUGAGAGCUCUCUGACACAGGUUGGCGCAGAACUCUUAAAGCCCUUAGUCUGCUUCCUAUUGGUUCCACAUGUGUUUGUAUUUGUUCUCAGUAGGCAGAGAUUCCAGAGAGAAAAUGAACCGCUGCAGAUCGAUUGCAGUAUCAGUCAUGCAGAAGACAUGGUGAAGUGUGCCAUUUGAUUUUGAUCUAGUUUUAACCCUUGGGAGAU
rnacentral:lncRNA from 1 species